rnacentral:rRNA from 1 species
UAAUACGAAGGUGGCAAGCGUUGUUCGGAUUCACUGGGCGUACAGGGUGUGUAGGCGGUUUGGUAAGCCUUCUGUUAAAGCUUCGGGCCCAACCCGGAAAGCGCAGAGGGUACUGCCAGGCUAGAGGGUGGGAGAGGAGCGCGGAAUUCCCGGUGUAGCGGUGAAAUGCGUAGAGAUCGGGAGGAAGGCCGGUGGCGAAGGCGGCGCUCUGGAACAUGCCUGACGCUGAGACACGAAAGCGUGGGGAGCAAACAGGAUUAGAUACCCUGGUAGUCCACGCCCUAAACUAUGGAUACUAAGUGUCGGCGGGUUACCGCCGGUGCCGCAGCUAACGCAUUAAGUAUCCCGCCUGGGAAGUACGGCCGCAAGGUUGAAACUUAAAUGAAUUGACGG